CUUCAUUGCCUCUCGAAAAACCUAGCACAGCAGUGGCCAUGGACGAAUCCACGAACAAAGGUCUGGAAUGGAAGGGUAGUGAUGCAGAGAUUCCAAAAGGCAGGAGCAUUGAUAUAAGGCCCGGGGGAUAUUGGUCCACGAUCAAAGUUCAGGAAUUGAACGAUAGUUACGCAGGGACCAGCAUUAUUAGGAGGAUGGUGGUCAAGGGAUACGACACGUCCCCUCCUACUCCUAGGGAGGAUGUGGAAGAGGCUCUGAGAAAACACUUCGCAUCACGUGGAAUAAAGUUAAUACAUGCUUAUGUUCCCGUAGACUUCGACACUCUUACCCUCUGCAGUUACGCCUUUAUCUAUGUUUAUGAAGAAUAUGAAGCAGAGGCGUUGGAGGACGUAUUUUAGAAAUUACGUCUUACCCUUUUGAAGACAAUCACCUUGACCAUGUCUUUCCUCCUUGCAAUCCCUCAGACGAUAUCCGACAGCGCACGUUGAAAAUUACAGGAUUUGAUACUUCCCUUGAUGAGGAUGAUAUCGACAAGAUGCUACUUGAGUUUUUCCCUGAAUCCGGUAUUAUGGAUAUCUGUAACGGCUUUGUUCUCCUUGUUAUCUCUGGACUAGAUACUAUGGACAAGGCUCUGAAACUUAGCUGAAGAACUGUACGAGGCUCUAAAUUUGCAGUCACUACGGUCCUCCCUAUAAAAUUGGUGAGGUGUGGCUUAUCACGCGCAGCUAGGUUGCCUUUGGGUAAGAAAGCUUAAAAGUGACGAGAAAUCAGAAGAUGAUCAAGACUUACGGAUUAGAAAUGCUCUCUCUCUC